rnacentral:rRNA from 1 species
UACGGAGGGUGCGAGCGUUAUCCGGAUUCACUGGGUUUAAAGGGUGCGUAGGUGGGAAUGUAAGUCAGUGGUGAAAUCUCUGGGCUUAACUCAGAAACUGCCAUUGAUACUAUGUUUCUUGAAUUCUCUGGAGGUCAGCGGAAUAUGUCAUGUAGCGGUGAAAUGCUUAGAUAUGACAUAGAACACCAAUUGCGAAGGCAGCUGGCUACAGGGAUAUUGACACUGAGGCACGAAAGCGUGGGGAUCAAACAGG